AUGCAGUCGAGCGAGAAGUUUACUUCGGUAAAUGGACAGCGGCGAAAGGGACAGUAAUGUGUAGGUACCUACCCCCCGAUCUGGGAUAGCUGCGGGAAACUGCAGGUAAUACCGGAUAAUGUCUUCGGACCAAAGGUGUGAUUCCGUCAGGGGAGGGGCCUGCAUCCUAUUAGCUUGUUGGUGAGGUAAUGGCUCACCAAGGCAACGAUGGGUAGCGGGUGUGAGAGCAUGACCCGCGUCAUUGGGACUGAGACACUGCCCAGACAUCUACGGAUGGCUGCAGUCGAGAAUCUUCGGCAAUGGGCGAAAGCCUGACCGAGCGACGCCGCGUGCGGGAUGAAGGCCCUCGGGUUGUAAACCGCUGUCGUUGGGGAGGAAAUGCAAAAGGGUUAUCCCUUCUGUUUGACCGAUCCAAGGAGGAAGUACGGGCUAAGUUCGUGCCAGCAGCCGCGGUAAGACGAACCGUACGAACGUUAUUCGGAAUUACUGGGCUUAAAGGGUGCGUAGGCUGCACGGAAAGUUGGGUGUGAAAGCCCUCAGCUCAACUGAGGAAUUGCAUCCAAAACUGCCGUGCUCGAGGGAGACAGAGGUGAGCGGAACUCAAGGAGCGGUGAAAU
rnacentral:rRNA from 1 species